GGCACGGUGGCACAGUGGUUAGCGCUACUGCCUCACACACCAAGAAGGUCGUGGGUUCGAAUCCGGCCUGGGGCC